rnacentral:rRNA from 1 species
UACGUAGGGUGCGAGCGUUGUCCGGAAUUAUUGGGCGUAAAGAGCGUGUAGGCGGCCAUGCAGGUCAGCUGUGAAAACUCGAGGCUCAACCUCGAGACGUCGGUUGAAACCGUAUGGCUAGAGUCCGGAAGAGGAGAGUGGAAUUCCCGGUGUAGCGGUGAAAUGCGCAGAUAUCGGGAAGAACACCUAUGGCGAAGGCAGCUCUCUGGGACGGUACUGACGCUGAGACGCGAAAGCGUGGGGAGCGAACAGG